GACGAACGCUGGCGGCGUGCCUAAUACAUGCAAGUCGAGCGGACCGGAUUGGGGCUUGCCUUGAUUCGGUCAGCGGCGGACGGGUGAGUAACACGUGGGCAACCUGCCCGCAAGACCGGGAUAACUCCGGGAAACCGGAGCUAAUACCGGAUAACACCGAAGACCGCAUGGUCUUCGGUUGAAAGGCGGCCUUUGGGCUGUCACUUGCGGAUGGGCCCGCGGCGCAUUAGCUAGUUGGUGAGGUAACGGCUCACCAAGGCGACGAUGCGUAGCCGGCCUGAGAGGGGGACCGGCCACACUGGGACUGAGACACGGCCCAGACUCCUACGGGAGGCAGCAGUAGGGAAGCUUCCGCAAUGGGCGAAAGCCUGACGGAGCGACGCCGCGUGAGCGAAGAAGGCCUUCGGGUCGUAAAGCUCUGUUGUGAGGGACGAAGGAGCGUCGUUCGAAGAGGGCGGCGCGGUGACGGUACCUCACGAGAAAGCCCCGGCUAACUACGUG
rnacentral:rRNA from 1 species